rnacentral:sRNA from 1 species
GUCCUCAGGGAGGGUGAGUCGGCGCGGCGGGCGCGGACUCGGGUUGUCUUCGGUCCGAGUGCUCCUGGUCGCUUCCUGCGCCCUCCCGCCUUCGGCACUGCGGUCCCCGCGUCCCCCGGGCCUCCAGUCGGGAAAGCGCGGGGGCUUUGCGGGGCCCUGAGCGCCUGGCGUGGGAGGUGGUCGAGCCCAGCCACCUUCCCCCGCAGCGGCGCGAGGUGGGCUUCGUUUGGCCGAGUCUGCCAGCUCCCCGCAGACCCCGCUCGUGGCAGCCACGGUGUCAGGGGCCUGAGUAAGGUCUCUCGGCCAGAACGCGUGGAUGCCCACCCACCACUGAGCCUCAUGCAGGAUUCCUGGUUUUCAAGCCUGAGCUGAUCUCCCGGCUGGAGCAGGGAGAAGAGCCGUGGGUCCUCGACCUGCAGGGAGCAGAGGGGACAGAGGCACCAAGGACCUCCAAGACAGAUUCUACGAUUAGGACGGAGAAUAAGCAGGUCUGUGAGGACAUGGACAUCCUAAAAUCAGAAUCCUAUGGGACAGUGGUCAGAAUCUCCCCACAGGACUUUCCUCAGAAUCCUGGCUUUGG